rnacentral:rRNA from 1 species
CGUUGAAAAGCCAGGGGAUGACUUGUGGAUAGGGGUGAAAGGCUAAUCAAGCCUGGUGAUAGCUGGUUCUCCCCGAAAGCUAUUUAGGUAGCGCCUCGGACGAAUACCAUAGGGGGUAGAGCACUGU